rfam:Dipodomys ordii contig_17134, whole genome shotgun sequence.
GGUGGCUCAGUGGUAGAACGCUUGCCUUGCAUGCAUGAGACCCUGGGUUCGAUUCCUCAGCACCA